rnacentral:Y_RNA from 1 species
GGCAGUCCAAAGGUAGUGAGUUAUCUCAAUUGAUUGUUCACAGUCAGUUACAGAUUGAACUCUUUGUUCUACUCUUUCCCCACUUCUCACUACUGCACUUGACUAGUCUUUA